rnacentral:rRNA from 1 species
GGGGCAUUNCGGCAUGCUAUACAUGCAGUCGAACGAGUUCUCGUUGAUGAUCGGUGCUUGCACCGAGAUUCACAUGGAACGAGUGGCGGACGGGUGAGUAACACGUGGGUAACCUGCCCUUAAGUGGGGGAUAACAUUUGGAAACAGAUGCUAAUACCGCAUAGAUCCAAGAACCGCAUGGUUCUUGGCUGAAAGAUGGCGUAAGCUAUCGCUUUUGGAUGGACCCGCGGCGUAUUAGCUAGUUGGUGAGGUAAUGGCUCACCAAGGCGAUGAUACGUAGCCGAACUGAGAGGUUGAUCGGCCACAUUGGGACUGAGACACGGCCCAAACUCCUACGGGAGGCAGCAGUAGGGAAUCUUCCACAAUGGACGCAAGUCUGAUGGAGCAACGCCGCGUGAGUGAAGAAGGCUUUCGGGUCGUAAAACUCUGUUGUUGGAGAAGAAUGGUCGGCAGAGUAACUGUUGUCGGCGUGACGGUAUCCAACCAGAAAGCCACGGCUAACUACGUGCCAGCAGCCGCGGUAAUACGUAGGUGGCAAGCGUUAUCCGGAUUUAUUGGGCGUAAAGCGAGCGCAGGCGGUUUUUUAAGUCUGAUGUGAAAGCCCUCGGCUUAACCGAGGAAGCGCAUCGGAAACUGGGAAACUUGAGUGCAGAAGAGGACAGUGGAACUCCAUGUGUAGCGGUGAAAUGCGUAGAUAUAUGGAAGAACACCAGUGGCGAAGGCGGCUGUCUGGUCUGUAACUGACGCUGAGGCUCGAAAGCAUGGGUAGCGAACAGGAUUAGAUACCCUGGUAGUCCAUGCCGUAAACGAUGAAUGCUAGGUGUUGGAGGGUUUCCGCCCUUCAGUGCCGCAGCUAACGCAUUAAGCAUUCCGCCUGGGGAGUACGACCGCAAGGUUGAAACUCAAAGGAAUUGACGGGGGCCCGCACAAGCGGUGGAGCAUGUGGUUUAAUUCGAAGCAACGCGAAGAACCUUACCAGGUCUUGACAUCUUUUGAUCACCUGAGAGAUCAGGUUUCCCCUUCGGGGGCAAAAUGACAGGUGGUGCAUGGUUGUCGUCAGCUCGUGUCGUGAGAUGUUGGGUUAAGUCCCGCAACGAGCGCAACCCUUAUGACUAGUUGCCAGCAUUUAGUUGGGCACUCUAGUAAGACUGCCGGUGACAAACCGGAGGAAGGUGGGGAUGACGUCAAAUCAUCAUGCCCCUUAUGACCUGGGCUACACACGUGCUACAAUGGAUGGUACAACGAGUUGCGAGACCGCGAGGUCAAGCUAAUCUCUUAAAGCCAUUCUCAGUUCGGACUGUAGGCUGCAACUCGCCUACACGAAGUCGGAAUCGCUAGUAAUCGCGGAUCAGCACGCCGCGGUGAAUACGUUCCCGGGCCUUGUACACACCGCCCGUCACACCAUGAGAGUUUGUAACACCCGAAGCCGGUGGCGUAACCCUUUUAGGGAGCGAGCCGUCUAAGGUGGA